UUUAAAAAAAGUGGAAAAAAACAAACAAAGAGGUAAAGAUGGACCAAUGAAAAAAGGAGGAAGAAAGAAAAAUAAAGAGAGCUCUUUUCUCCACGAGGACUCUAAUUGGUGAUGCUCAUCUGAUGAA
ensembl:ncRNA C27F2.14 ncRNA